UUUCCUUCCAUUUCUUCUUCAGCUGCGGCGUAAUCAAAAAGUUGUUAUUACAUAUACAAUGACAUCUGCAUAUACAAAGAAACAUCUUACCCAUUACUGCUGAUGCUAUGGUGACUGCGACUGUGAGAGAUGGCGACAAGUGCGGGUAGCCGGAGAGGUGGAACAAAGGCUUUUGGUGGGCCUGCAGAUAAGGGGACCAUAUAACAGUGCCAAACUUACCUAAAUAUUACCAUUUACAAUUUACGNN
rnacentral:lncRNA from 1 species